rnacentral:rRNA from 1 species
UACGAAGGGGGCUAGCGUUGCUCGGAAUUACUGGGCGUAAAGCGCACGUAGGCGGAUCUUUAAGUCAGGGGUGAAAUCCUGGAGCUCAACUCCAGAACUGCCUUUGAUACUGAGGACCUUGAGUUCGGGAGAGGUGAGUGGAACUGCGAGUGUAGAGGUGAAAUUCGUAGAUAUUCGCAAGAACACCAGUGGCGAAGGCGGCUCACUGGCCCGAUACUGACGCUGAGGCACGAAAGCGUGGGGGAGCAAACAGG